rnacentral:rRNA from 1 species
GCAGUGUGAAAAACUCCGGUGGUAUAAGAUGGACCCGCGUUGGAUUAGCUAGUUGGUGAGGUAACGGCCCACCAAGGCGACGAUCCAUAGCCGACCUGAGAGGGUGACCGGCCACAUUGGGACUGAGACACGGCCCAAACUCCUACGGGAGGCAGCAGUGGGGAAUAUUGCACAAUGGGCGAAAGCCUGAUGCAGCGACGCCGCGUGAGCGAAGAAGUAUUUCGGUAUGUAAAGCUCUAUCAGCAGGGAAGAUAAUGACGGUACCUGACUAAGAAGCACCGGCUAAAUACGUGCCAGCAGCCGCGGUAAUACGUAUGGUGCAAGCGUUAUCCGGAUUUACUGGGUGUAAAGGGAGCGCAGGCGGUGCGGCAAGUCUGAUGUGAAAGCCCGGGGCUCAACCCCGGUACUGCAUUGGAAACUGUCGUACUAGAGUGUCGGAGGGGUAAGCGGAAUUCCUAGUGUAGCGGUGAAAUGCGUAGAUAUUAGGAGGAACACCAGUGGCGAAGGCGGCUUACUGGACGAUAACUGACGCUGAGGCUCGAAAGCGUGGGGAGCAAACAGGAUUAGAUACCCUGGUAGUCCACGCCGU